UACGUAGGGACCAAGCGUUGUUCGGAUUUACUGGGCUUAAAGGGCUCGUAGGUGGCCAACUAAGUCAGACGUGAAAUCCCUCAGCUUAACUGGGGAACUGCGUCUGAUACUGGAUGGCUUGAGUUUGGGAGAGGGAUGCGGAAUUCCAGGUGUAGCGGUGAAAUGCGUAGAUAUCUGGAGGAACACCGGUGGCGAAGGCGGCAUCCUGGACCAACACUGACACUGAGGAGCGAAAGCCAGGGGAGCAAACGGG
rnacentral:rRNA from 1 species